rnacentral:miRNA from 1 species
AGGGAACAGGGACGCA